AGAAUGAACGCUGGCGGCGUGCUUAACACAUGCAAGUCGAGCGAGGCGGAAGGGGGCAACUCCUUCCAGUCGAGCGGCGGACGGGUGAGUAACACGUGGGUAACCUGCCCGGAAGUGGGGAAUACCUCGGGGAAACUCGAGUUAAUACCGCAUGACAUCUUCGGGACGAAAGUCCUGACGAUCAAAGCGGGGUCGCAAGAUCUCGCGCUACCGGAUGGGCCCGCGCCCGAUUAGCUAGUUGGUGAGGUAACGGCUCACCAAGGCUUCGAUCGGUAACCGGCCUGAGAGGGCGAGUCGGUACACACCGGAACUGAGACACGGUCCGGACUCCUACGGAGGCAGCAGUGGGAAUCUUGCGCAAUGGGCGAAAGCCUGACGCAGCAACGCCGCGUGGAGGAGUGAACGGCCCUUGGGUUCGUAAACGUUCCUGGUACCGGCGUUGGGAAGGAAAUUCCGGUUUACGGGUUAACGUACCCCCGGACGUU
rnacentral:rRNA from 1 species